rnacentral:siRNA from 1 species
UAGUCUCAUCACAUCUAAGGUGCA